rnacentral:rRNA from 1 species
AUUGAACGCUGGCGGCAGGCCUAACACAUGCAAGUCGAACGGUAACAGGAAGAAGCUUGCUUCUUUGCUGACGAGUGGCGGACGGGUGAGUAAUGUCUGGGAAACUGCCUGAUGGAGGGGGAUAACUACUGGAAACGGUAGCUAAUACCGCAUAACGUCGCAAGACCAAGGAGGGGGACCUUCGGGCCUCUUGCCAUCGGAUGUGCCCAGAUGGGAUUAGCUAGUAGGUGGGGUAACGGCUCACCUAGGCGACGAUCCCUAGCUGGUCUGAGAGGAUGACCAGCCACACUGGAACUGAGACACGGUCCAGGCUCCUACGGGAGGCAGCAGUGGGGAAUAUUGCACAAUGGGCGCAAGCCUGAUGCAGCCAUGCCGCGUGUAUGAAGAAGGCCUUCGGGUUGUAAAGUACUUUCAGCGGGGAGGAAGGGAGUAAAGUUAAUACCUUUACUCAUUGACGUUACCCGCAGAAGAAGCACCGGCUAACUCCGUG